UACGUAGGGUGCGAGCGUUAAUCGGAAUUACUGGGCGUAAAGCGUCUGUAGGUGGCUUUUUAAGUCCGCCGUCAAAUCCCAGGGCUCAACUCUGGACAGGCGGUGGAAACUACCAAGCUGGAGUACGGUAGGGGCAGAGGGAAUUUCCGGUGGAGCGGUGAAAUGCGCAGAUAUCGGGAAGAACACCCGUGGCGAAGGCGGCUCUCUGGGACGGUACUGACGCUGAGACGCGAAAGCGUGGGGAGCGAACAGG
rnacentral:rRNA from 1 species